rnacentral:sRNA from 1 species
CGUGAUUUCAUCGAAACUUAGAUCCCUUCGCCUAAAACUUAUAUCAUUUUCGGGUGCUCACAGUUAUCAGAGCCCUUGAAAAACCUAGAGCCAGCCUAUACAAAAAAUAAUUAUAUUAUAUAAUUUUUUCAGAAAGAAAUAGAACAACGGGCUUUCCGAAUUAGGAAGGGCUACUGCAGUUGAUCUUGCGGCGGAUAACACAUUCCCUAAAAGGAACACCGCGCCUAUUGGUGACUGACUAGAACAGGAUAAGGCGAAGAGGCGCCAUUAGGACUACGCUGCCGGCGUCGCCCUGCUUGCUCUGCUGGGACGCUCCCGUUAGUGGUAGGACGGUUUUAU